rnacentral:rRNA from 1 species
GAUGAACGCUAGCGGCAGGCUUAACACAUGCAAGUCGAGGGGUAACAUUGUAGCUUGCUACAGAUGACGACCGGCGCACGGGUGCGUAACGCGUAUAGAACUUACCUUUUACAGAGGGAUAGCCUUUAGAAAUGAAGAUUAAUACCUCAUAGUAUUGUUGAUUGGCAUCAAUUAAUAAUUAAAGAUUUAUCGGUAAAAGAUGGCUAUGCGUCCUAUUAGCUAGAUGGUAAGGUAAUGGCUUACCAUGGCAACGAUAGGUAGGGGCCCUGAGAGGGGGAUCCCCCACACUGGUACUGAGACACGGACCAGACUCCUACGGGAGGCAGCAGUGAGGAAUAUUGGGCAAUGGAGGUAACUCUGACCCAGCCAUGCCGCGUGCAGGAAGACUGCCCUAUGGGUUGUAAACUGCUUUUAUACAGGAAGAAACACUAGUACGUGUACUAGCUUGACGGUACUGUAAGAAUAAGGACCGGCUAACUCCG